UUUAUCCGUAUGGCCGUGGUUAGGGCAUUCGAUGCUCAUUCCCGCGCACAACUUCCGUCGUAUUGCAGUCGCAUUCUCUGCCGGCGAAUUAGGGUUCUUUAGUUUACAAAGUCAUGUGGCCGGGCCUCUACACCUAGAUUGGCACGCAGUUUACGCUUGGAUUGGAGAUUUGGCAAUGGCAUGCUCUUGGAAUCAACGAAGGAAAGGUUAAAAUUGUGCCAGGAACGUACGGGCGACCUUGAUUCAGAAAGCGGUGUAGCAAUCCCACCCGCCGGCCAGCCAAGUUCCUAGUUAAUUUUCUUAACCCUAGCCCCCAAACCUGAUGCAUUCCACGCCUCUCUUUUUUCCCACGACCUCGCACUCGACUCACCUUCUUCUUCUUCUGUCUCCCACCGCCAUGUCACGGUCAUCGUCUUUUUAUUAUCCGGCUUCACUCUAUUCUAGUUCCUCGCCUUCGUCGUCCUUUUUGUCUUUGUCUUCUUCGGACGUUUUCACUAAGGUCAUGCGGAUUCUUCUGCUUUUAAGGCCAAGUCGAAGCUCCAGAAACAAUACACCUUUUUUGAUGAACAGUCACUGUAGGGGCUGCGCAAAGCUUCUUUCCCCAAGGACAAGGAAAAUAUUGGCAGCAUAAAGGCAAAGAUUUUAAGAUUGGUGGUUAUGGCAAUGGACUGGCAAGUGCUUGUGGUAACUGCUGACUUCUCUGUCGUUUCUGCCUUCCGGUAGUUGUAGGUAAUGGCUUUGAAGCAGAGAGGAAGACGAGCUGACGAUUUCUCUGGGGUUCAGACAUUCCCAAAUGUGCAAAUUAAAGCUUGAGCGCCAGUCAGAGUGAUAUCCUGUAAAUAACGCCAGAGAGCCUGCCCGCUUGCUGCCAGGAAAACUCAUUCCCAUCUGACCCGAUGGGUAAUCAGAUCGAUCAUUCGUCGUAACCUGCCCAAUGCAUCGAUUGUCUGCUUGUAACAAUUAGGACAGUGUAGUCCACGAAGGCCCGUUAAAAGCCCAAGAUGUUAACCGAUAAGCUACACAGGCUACAACGUAUGCCCGCUGAGGACAACUAAAUGGGCCACCAUCGCUAGGUCCCGACAAAGCAGGGCCACGUGCUGUCGGAAAGGCCCAGUCCUUGUCACCCAGAAGACAAUAUGAGCACGUGUUGCCAUUUCGGACCAAUACUGUUCCAUGCAAGCCUACGCAGCUUAAUACAAUAUAAUCAUAGGCCCGUGAAACAAGCCCAGUGAAUCUAGCCCAACGGCUGACAGACCCAAGUGACACCCAGUGGGCCGACAGAAACAAUUCGUCUUCCAGGAGCUUAACAGUUACAUGUGCGGUGGUCGAUGCCCAAUGACCGACAGUCACGUGCUGUCUCCAAUAGCCAGACAAAUUAUGUACGUCUGUAAUUGUCCAUCCGGCCCGAUAUCUUUUUUAUUCAAACGCAAACGGUUAGAUACAAUGUCAUUGAAGUCCCAUCGGACGGGCCCUAUAGUUGUUACCCAACGGACGACAGAAGCACGUGCCGUCUACAACCAGCAUGACCGUCACAAGUGUAGUGGUCACACUGUCACGUGCUGCUUGCCCAUAGCCGGCCAAAGCCAUGUGCAUUUGCUAAGGCUUAUUAUGCCCAAUAUUGUUUUCAUUCAUAUCCAAAGGCCCAAUACAAAGUCAUCGAAGGCCCAUCGGGCCCACGUUUUCAUUCAGAUCCAGACGGCCCAAUAAAAUGCCAUCGAAGGGCUAUCCGACAGGCCCUGUAGCUGUCACCCAACGGGCCGACAGAAGAACGUGCCGUCUACAACCAG